GACGAACGCUGGCGGCGUGCUUAACACAUGCAAGUCGAACGGAAAGGCCCUGCUUUCGUGGGGUGCUCGAGUGGCGAACGGGUGAGUAACACGGGAGUAUCCUGCCCUUGACUUUGGGAUAACUUCAGGAAACUGGGGCUACUACCGGAUAGGAGCUCCUGCUGCAUGGUGGGGGUUGGAAAGUUUAGGCUGUUGGGGAUGGACUCGCGGCUUAUCAGCUUGUUGGUGGGGUAGUGGCUUACCAAGGCUUUGACGGGUAGCCGGCCUGGGAGGGUGAACGGCCUCAUUGGGACUAAGAUACGGCCCAGACUCCUACAGGAGGCAGCGGGCGGGAAUCUUGCACAGUGGGCGGAAGCCUGAUGCGGCAACGCCGCGUGCGGGAUGACGGCCUUCGGGUUGUAAACCGCAUUCGCCUGUGACCAAGCGUGAGUGACGGUAAUAGGUAAAGAAGCACCGGCUAACUACGUG
rnacentral:rRNA from 1 species